CUUAUCUAUAUAAUAUGGAUUAUAUAUAAUCUUUUCAAUUUUAUCAUACCAAAAAAAAAUAUUGUUUGUAAAAAAUAUGAAGGUCAACAAACAUACUCCCAUAAUUCACAGUAGUCGUGAAUUGACCAUAUGAUUUGAUUUAAUUAAUUUUCCAGUUUGUUAUUUUACUGUUGUUGAAUUUGUGAGAGGAAUUUGCUCAAAUUAGCUUGAAUUCCUUCGUUAUUUUCGUUUGGUGUGUUUAUGUGUGCUUCCUAAUUCACUUACAGGACUUUCAAGGGAAAUUGUUGUGGAAAUCAGUGACGAAUCUAACCAAACUCAAUAGUUGCCACAAGUCUCAAGAAAAUCCUUCUAAAAUUACCACAACUGCUCACUCAAUUUAAAAACAUAAGAAAAUCUUAAAUGUUCAAAAGUGAGGAAGUUGUUCCGACGCUUGGGAAAAUGACACAAGUAUUCUCCUAUGUAGUUCUUCUUUUACAAAUGGUAGCUUUCAUAUUGAUUGUACUGAUACUUUUUUAUCUUAUUCAAUUGAGGUAUACGAUGAGUGUUUUAAGUAGUUGAGAUUGAAUGUGUUCAUUAGUGAUCAUAAUGUGACACUAUUUACAUAUAAAUAUCAUUACUGGGUUUGUUAUUAAACUCAUUUUUCUGUUACUCAAUCUUAUCCACUGGUGAUGACAGAGAAACCAUUAAAUUGAAUAGUGCA